rnacentral:rRNA from 1 species
GACGAACGCUGGCGGCGUGCCUAAUACAUGCAAGUAGAACGCUGAAGGAGGAGCUUGCUCUUCUGGAUGAGUUGCGAACGGGUGAGUAACGCGUAGGUAACCUGCCUGGUAGCGGGGGAUAACUAUUGGAAACGAUAGCUAAUACCGCAUAACAGUAGAUGUUGCAUGACAUUUACUUAAAAGGUGCAAUUGCAUCACUACCAGAUGGACCUGCGUUGUAUUAGCUAGUUGGUGGGGUAACGGCUCACCAAGGCGACGAUACAUAGCCGACCUGAGAGGGUGAUCGGCCACACUGGGACUGAGACACGGCCCAGACUCCUACGGGAGGCAGCAGUAGGGAAUCUUCGGCAAUGGACGGAAGUCUGACCGAGCAACGCCGCGUGAGUGAAGAAGGUUUUCGGAUCGUAAAGCUCUGUUGUAAGAGAAGAACGAGUGUGAGAGUGGAAAGUUCACACUGUGACGGUAUCCUACCAGAAAGGGACGGCUAACUACGUG